rnacentral:rRNA from 1 species
AUUGAACGCUGGCGGCAUGCCUUACACAUGCAAGUCGAACGGCAGCGCGGACUUCGGUCUGGCGGCGAGUGGCGAACGGGUGAGUAAUGUAUCGGAACGUACCAUUCAGUGGGGGAUAACGCAGCGAAAGUUGCGCUAAUACCGCAUAUUCUGUGCGCAGGAAAGCAGGGGAUCGCAAGACCUUGCGCUGAUUGAGCGGCCGAUAUCAGAUUAGCUAGUUGGUGAGGUAAAGGCUCACCAAGGCGACGAUCCGUAGCGGGUCUGAGAGGAUGAUCCGCCACACUGGAACUGAGACACGGUCCAGACUCCUACGGGAGGCAGCAGUGGGGAAUUUUGGACAGUGGGCGCAAGCCUGAUCCAGCCAUGCCGCGUGAGUGAAGAAGGCCUUCGGGUUGUAAAGCUCUUUCGGCCGGGAAGAAAUCGUAUGGGUUAAUACCCUGUGCGGAUGACGGUACCGGCAUAAGAAGCACCGGCUAACUACGUGCCAGCAGCCGCGGUAAUAC